UUUGUGAUUAAUCACUAUGCUUUAAUUAUGUUCAAUUUGUAACAGUGAAAUUGGGGGUCACCACAACAUGAGGAGCUGUAUUAAAGGGUCGCGGCAUCAGGAAGGUUGAGAACCACUGCUUUAGAUGAAGAGCUGUGGGAUAAAAUUUGCUCACUCCGUUGUACAAAGCACAACCAGAACUUAAUCAUUGGCUAAGAGAGGCACUAAUCCCUGUGGGGUUGAACAUAUCCUGAAGCUGAGUCAGUAUGGAAGAAUUUAAAAUAAAUCAAACAGGGUGCUGCAGUUCCAUCUGUCUCAGGCUCACGGUAAGUUCUUACUGAUUAGUGAAUGUAGCUAAAGCCUUUGUCUGUGUCCUCAGGGGCAGACUUCAAGAGGGACCAGAUAACGUUUGAAUGGAGGGAUUAUAUUUCAGGUGUUUUAGCUUGAAAUUUAUUUUUUAAAAAAAUAAAAAUGGGGGGGGGGGUAAUAGAACAAAGCCUGUGAAGCAAAAUUGAUAUUAUAAAACAGGCAGAGUUGUUUAGCACAGAGAAAAUAUUGACCUGUCUGCAUUCUGGUACUGUGGGUGCAGGUCCUAGCUUGGUAUAACGAUACAUUUUUAAUUCUCACCAGCAAGGAAAAGGAAAAGGAACAGUCUUCUUCAGAAAAUGUCUGCAAAGGGUCAAGCAGUAGAAAAGUCGAAAGUUACCGACUUUAUACAGGCAUUAUUUAAUGCUUGCCUACAGAAGUAUAGCAUUUCCAAGCUUCUGUCUGAGAAGCAUUUCAGAGAUGUGAAAGUAAAUCUGAGGUAGUUGAAAAAUUGGUAAGGACAGGAGAAAAUCCCUGCAGAUACGAUCUUACAUUAGUUGGCCAAGUGAAAUGAUCUAGCAUUGUGUUUGGGAGGUUUUAUUUUCUUACGUUUUUAAAAUUGAAUUGGUAAAUACUUUAUAGGCGUAUUUUUAUCCAGGUGCCACUCCAAUUUGUGUGUGUAAUAAAAUUAUUUAUAUUAAAAGUGGGAAAUAAUUUGUCAACAUUUUUCUGUGAGUAUAGAUUAGGGGUGGCAAAGAAGAGUGCUAGUUAGCAGUUUUCCAAUGUAAAGUUGUCCCUAACUGAUUUGUCCACAUGUUGGUUAUCAUCCCCACCCAAAAAAGGAAUUAUCCUAACCUGGAUGUAUCACUUGAAAAUUUUUAGAAACAAUAAUCAGGGAAGUUUCUAGAGAGUGUUUGGUUUUUUUGGUUUUCCUUUGAGGACUGGGGUAACAAAUACCUCCCCCAAAAAUUAUCAGCACAAAACAGGGUAUUGAUUUUCAACUCUGAUCUUGCUAUUGGAGUUGAAUACUAAAGAACUAUAAUGAGGAAAAUACAUUUCUAAUACAAUUUCCUACAUUCUAGAAACAUCCCUGUUUUAAUUUUUUUACUUAAAUCUUUUUGUGCUUUAUCUGUAAAGAAAUAAAAUGUACUGAAUUAUAAAGCAUUUUAUUAACACUAUGUACAUAGCUGCUUUGUGUUCAGAAUGGUAGCAUUGCUUUGUAUAUUAAAGUGAUCCUUGUGAAUUUGUGAAAUAUUGUCAUAAAGUCCUUUUUCUUACUGUAAUCUUUGUGGUAAAAACUGUCAUUGCCCUUUUACACACAUUUAUGUGCAGUCACAUAAAACAUGCUUUUAAAAACUCAGAGUCUCUUUUUUGGGGAUGGGGGGGUCUCUAUCUUGUUUUUUGCUAGUAGUGUUAAGCUAUAUUUUCUUGGACUUAUGUUUGUUACUUUUGUUAAAUGAGCAAAAGUUACGUUAGAAUAUAUCACAAGCUUGUGUUGCAGAGCAACAGGAAACUAAUUCAAGCAACAAGAACUUAUCUUCAGUUAAUUUUACUGUCUAAUUUUUACCACACGAUGUCUUUGUUCAGUAAGAUUGAACAGUGCCUAUUUGAAGAUUCGGAGAUGUUACUGCUCUAUUGAGACAACCAAUGGGAGACGUGUGACCAACUAUCUUUGAUGUCAUAAAAUGCAUGUUUGCAUUGGAAGAACAAUAAUUGCUAACUUCUCAGGUCCCCUUAUAAUUCUGAAGUUCUGUGAUCAUAUGAAAGGAGGGAAUGUGUUUAAUCUGCUCCUUGCUUAAAGCAUAUGAAUAAAAGACUCAUACUAUUUAUUGAUUCAA